GGGUUGUGAGGUUAAGCGACUAAGCGUACACGGUGGAUGCCCUGGCAGUCAGAGGCGAUGAAGGACGUGCUAAUCUGCGAAAAGCGUCGGUAAGGUGAUAUGAACCGUUAUAACCGGCGAUGUCCGAAUGGGGAAACCCAGUGUGAUUCGUCACACUAUCGUUAACUGAAUACAUAGGUUAACGAGGCGAACCGGGGGAACUGAAACAUCUAAGUACCCCGAGGAAAAGAAAUCAACCGAGAUUCCCCCAGUAGCGGCGAGCGAACGGGGAGCAGCCCAGAGUCUGAAUCAGCUUGUGUGUUAGUGGAACGGUCUGGAAAGUCCGACGGUACAGGGUGAUAGUCCCGUACACCAAAAUGCACAGGCUGUGAACUCGAAGAGUAGGGCGGGACACGUGGUAUCCUGUCUGAAUAUGGGGGGACCAUCCUCCAAGGCUAAAUACUCCUGACUGACCGAUAGUGAACCAGUACCGUGAGGGAAAGGCGAAAAGAACCCCGGCGAGGGGAGUGAAAAAGAACCUGAAACCGUGUACGUACAAGCAGUGGGAGCACCUUCGGGUGUGACUGCGUACCUUUUGUAUAAUGGGUCAGCGACUUAUAUUCUGUAGCAAGGUUAACCGUAUAGGGGAGCCGCAGGGAAACCGAGUCUUAACUGGGCGUUAAGUUGCAGGGUAUAGACCCGAAACCCGGUGAUCUAGCCAUGGGCAGGUUGAAGGUUGGGUAACACUAACUGGAGGACCGAACCGACUAAUGUUGAAAAAUUAGCGGAUGACUUGUGGCUGGGGGUGAAAGGCCAAUCAAACCGGGAGAUAGCUGGUUCUCCCCGAAAGCUAUUUAGGUAGCGCCUCGUGAACUCAUCUUCGGGGGUAGAGCACUGUUUCGGCUAGGGGGUCAUCCCGACUUACCAACCCGAUGCAAACUACGAAUACCGAAGAAUGUUAUCACGGGAGACACACGGCGGGUGCUAACGUCCGUCGUGAAGAGGGAAACAACCCAGACCGCCAGCUAAGGUCCCAAAGUCAUGGUUAAGUGGGAAACGAUGUGGGAAGGCACAGACAGCCAGGAUGUUGGCUUAGAAGCAGCCAUCAUUUAAAGAAAGCGUAAUAGCUCACUGGUCGAGUCGGCCUGCGCGGAAGAUGUAACGGGGCUAAACCAUGCACCGAAGCUGCGGCAGCGACACUAUGUGUUGUUGGGUAGGGGAGCGUUCUGUAAGCCUGCGAAGGUGUGCUGUGAGGCAUGCUGGAGGUAUCAGAAGUGCGAAUGCUGACAUAAGUAACGAUAAAGGCGGGUGAAAAGCCCGCUCGCCCGGAAGACCAAGGUUCCUGUCCAACGUUAAUCGGGGCAGGGUGAGUCGACCCUAAGGCGAGGCCGAAGGCGUAGUCGAUGGGAAACAGGUUAAUAUUCCUGUACUUGGUGUACUGCGAAGGGGGACGGAGAAGCUAUGUUAGCCGGGCGACGGUUGUCCCGGUUUAAGCAUGUAGGGCUGGUUACCAGGCAAAUCCGGAUAACCAAGCUGAGGUGUGAUGACGAGGCACUACGGUGCUAAGUAACAAAUGCCCUGCUUCCAGGAAAAGCCUCUAAGCAUCAGGUAACAUCAAAUCGUAACCCCAAACCGACACAGGUGUCAGGUAGAGAAUACCAAGGCGCUUGAGAGACUCGGGUGAAGGAACUAGGCAAAAUGGUGCCGUAACUUCGGAGAAGGCACGCUGGUGUGUAGUGAAGGCCCUGCGGAUGGACUGAGACCAGUCGAAGAUACCAGCUGGCUGCAACUGUUUAUUAAAAACACAGCACUGUGCAAACACGAAAGUGGACGUAUACGGUGUGACGCCUGCCCGGUGCCGGAAGGUUAAUUGAUGGGGUUAUCCGUAAGGAGAAGCUCUUGAUCGAAGCCCCGGUAAACGGCGGCCGUAACUAUAACGGUCCUAAGGUAGCGAAAUUCCUUGUCGGGUAAGUUCCGACCUGCACGAAUGGCGUAAUGAUGGCCAGGCUGUCUCCACCCGAGACUCAGUGAAAUUGAACUCGCUGUGAAGAUGCAGUGUACCCGCGGCAAGACGGAAAGACCCCGUGAACCUUUACUAUAGCUUGACACUGAACAUUGAGCCUUGAUGUGUAGGAUAGGUGGGAGGCUUUGAAGCGUGGACGCCAGUCUGGCGUGGAGCCAACCUUGAAAUACCACCCUUUAAUGUUUGAUGUUCUAACGUUGGCCCCUGACCGGGGUUGCGGACAGUGUCUGGUGGGUAGUUUGACUGGGCGGUCUCCUCCCAAAGCGUAACGGAGGAGCACGAAGGUUAGCUAAUCCUGGUCGGACAUCAGGAGGUUAGUGCAAUGGCAUAAGCUAGCUUGACUGCGAGCGUGACGGCGCGAGCAGGUGCGAAAGCAGGUCAUAGUGAUCCGGUGGUUCUGAAUGGAAGGGCCAUCGCUCAACGGAUAAAAGGUACUCCGGGGAUAACAGGCUGAUACCGCCCAAGAGUUCAUAUCGACGGCGGUGUUUGGCACCUCGAUGUCGGCUCAUCACAUCCUGGGGCUGAAGUAGGUCCCAAGGGUAUGGCUGUUCGCCAUUUAAAGUGGUACGCGAGCUGGGUUUAGAACGUCGUGAGACAGUUCGGUCCCUAUCUGCCGUGGGCGCUGGAGAAUUGAGGGGGGCUGCUCCUAGUACGAGAGGACCGGAGUGGACGCAUCACUGGUGUUCGGGUUGUCAUGCCAAUGGCACUGCCCGGUAGCUAAAUGCGGAAGAGAUAAGUGCUGAAAGCAUCUAAGCACGAAACUUGCCCCGAGAUGAGUUCUCCCUGAGACUAUAAGUCUCCUGAAGGAACGUUGAAGACGACGACGUUGAUAGGCCGGGUGUGUAAGCGCAGCGAUGCGUUGAGCUAACCGGUACUAAUGAACCGUGAGGCUUAACCUUACAACGCCGAAG
rnacentral:rRNA from 1 species